GCCGCCUCCUCUCUCCCUCCCUCCCGCAGCCGCCUCCCUCCCUCCCACCCACCCACAUCGCCGCUGCCGCCACCCACGCGCGUGCGAGAUGCGUCGCCGCCGCCGCCAUCGCCAUCCUCCAUCGCCCCCAUCUCGCCCGCCUCCCCCACAUUCCCAUCUCGGUCAGCAUCCCCGUGGCCGGCGCUGGCACUAGCAGCUGCAGGAGGAGGUGUGGGUUAGCGGCGGUGGGGCCAGCAACAGCAGCAGCGACAGACGGGCGGGUGCUGGGCCACCGGCCCGUGGAGGACGUGUGCAAGGUGUGCGUGGUGCGCGGCGCGGCGGCGCAGGAGCGGGGGGAGGCGCUGCGGGCGAUGGAGACGUGGUCGUCGCAUCACCAUCGACGGGAGGAGCGCAGGAACUGCGAGCUCCCCUUCGGCGACCAGGCCUUCUCCUCCUUUGCUCUUGGCAGCCACCGCUGCGCUCCCGUCAGCGCCGUCCUUGAGGUCUCACCUGCGUUCCAGGUUUGCUUCCUCUUGGAAGACAUGGGUGAAUCUGAGGAUGGAACGCAAGCUCCAUUAUGCUUCUCAACACUCAGCCCCCCUCCCCCCCCCCCCCCCCCCCCCCCCCCCCCCCCCUUCUCUUUCUCUCUGAUCCGUGUUUUCUUUCUUAUAGUCAUUGUUGAUGCAUGAUUUGUUCAGAGAGGAUUUUCUCUGUAGCCUACAAGCUUUACAUUUCCCAACUGAGCUUAUAUUUCUGUUAAAUCACUAAUAGUAGGGUAUUUUCAACUAAAAAAUAAUAUAAAUAGCAUGGUAUUCUAACCCGCAGUUCUAGGCUGUGCAUAGUGAAAACUACUCCCUCCCUUCCUAAAUAUAAGGUGUAUUAGUUUUUUAAAAAGUCAACCGUUGUAUCUGUUUGACCAACUUCACAAUAAAAUAUAUAAAUAUUUACAAUACUUAAUAUAUAAAAUAUAUAAAUAUAUUUUGUAUCAACAGUUCAUUCAUGAGAAACAUUUAAAUUGCUUUAUCCAUGCGAUGGACAUUUAUUUGAUUGCAUAUGCUUGGUACACUCUUUCUGAGACACUGUUGCUAAACUAUAUUUAGAAAUAACUCAUGCACACUAAUUCCAUACUUGAAUGGUUAAUGGGCUCACUGUUCAAUAGUAGAAUUUCUACUUUUGUUUCUCUGUUAUUUGGUUUAUCUUCAGGCACUACCAAUAUACUGAACUAUGACUAAAAUUAUUUGGCAAACUUCAUGAGUGAGUUGAGAUUGAAGGUUAUUACUGGCUAUUGAUGUGAUGGCACCUGUCAUGGCAAACUUCACGAGUGACCAAAUAUCAGGUGGACCAGGAUCUGUGGGCUUUGUUCUAUUCGUCGGUCACCCUUGCCUUGGCACUAGCCGUGCAAUGGAAGAGGAGUGUGGUUAGGGUUUGGUUGUGCUUUCAAGAUCCGUUGAUGUCGUACAUGCUGUGGAACUUUGUCGUGUUUGUUGUCUGUUGCCGUUGUUAGGGUCUGCUCUUCUCUGGACUACGGUUCAAUAGAAAUAACUCAUGCAUUGCUAAUUCCCUACUUGAAAGCUACUGCUGUGAAGGCACCUGUCAUGGCAAACUUCACGAGUGAGCAAAUAUCAGUAGGAUGCUUUACAGGGUGUCGGUUGUAGAGACGGAAGAGGAGGUUGAUACAUCCUCGGCGCCUGCUGCAGCGACCACGACCACAUGUAUCUAAAAGAGAGGGCCCUCGCUUGAGUGAGAGUAGUGCCAGUGAUUCCCGAGGUAGUUCACCUCUGAAAAUCAGCUAUCUACUAUUGGUGUCAACAUAUUGCUCCAAAUUCCCACAAUCUAAUUAGUGUUCUAUGCAGACCAACACUUUUGGGUUUUGGCUAAUCUCCCAAUAGUUCCUAAAUAGUAAUCUUGUCUGACCAUUGACCUUUUGAGUUCUGCCUUAAAAGAGCAUCUCCAUGCAGAUAUAUAACAUGAUGGUCUUGGAUUCUUAUGGGUUUGAUAAUUUAGUUUUUUAUAUGAUCAUAUGAGGUCAUAUUUUAUUCGAGCAAGUAUGGCAUAUAUUUGUAGCACUAGGACGUUGCAGGUACAAAAAGGGAAAAUGUUAGCACUCUUAGAAUUAGCUUGUAAAUUUUGGAUGAGCUCCUAAUUAAUAUCAUAACCAUGAUGUAAAUGCGAGCAUCCAGCCAGGAUUUACCAGCAAGAACAAACAAUAGAGACAUGGUCUUUGUCAGUUAUGCACAUAAAAAGAACUCAUGUAGGAGUCUGACUUGGAUAUUUAGGUGUAGUCCAACACAAAUGAAGAGAGAGUAUAACUUGAUGCUAACUACUCAUGAAUGGAAACAAAAACACCAGAGAGAAUAAUUAACCUUUCCCCCUAGCUUAAGUUUUUAAUUGAGAUGGCAUUUCAUCCUAUUAUUCUGGUUUUAUACGUGUUGCUCAUGGAUUUAAUUGAUUUUGCACAGGCCGAGAUAAUACUGAUGCUCAAUCAUUCUUGUGGUUGGUUUCCUUUAUGCCUGUACAAAUAUACGUGUUCAGAUUCUGGUUCAAUUGCUCAAUACAUUUGGGUUAUUUUUCUCUAUAGUUGUUAAGUGGUUGAUCCACUCGAUGCACAUACGGACAUAUGUGUUCAGUUUAUAUGGUUUAAUUGCUUAAUUAUUUUGGCCAUUUUUCUAUUUUAGUUGAUAAGCAGUUAAUUAAGGUAAUGCGAUGCUCUUCUGGUUUUUGUUAUCUUAUCAAUGGAUUCAUUGGUGCUAAGAACAUGUACUCUCUCUGGAUGUAUGAUGCAACCGUUUCCUACUGUUAAUUAGUGAUACUUACACUCUUGAUUAUGUCAGAUUAUGCCAGAUGUGACCUUCUACUUAACUGUAAUAUUUAGUCGGUAUAAAAUGCUGACGUCCAGAAAUAUCAAGGAUUUUGAGAUGCAUAUUUAGGCUUGAAACUAAUAUUGCCAAAACUUUUGUACAUAUAACGACCCCUUUUACUUUUUUUCUGCUUCUAGGUGAUGAUGUACAGACCUUCUGAACUAGGUUAAACAUACGAGAUAUCCAGGAGAAAAGGCAGCUAAAUGAUGGCUUUAUUUAGUUCUAUUUAUCUACACAAAGAUCAUGUGUGCUCAAGUACAAAAGGAAAUCCUGGUAUGAACUGGAUAUAUUGUUGAAUCUUCUGGUGUUUUUACAAUGAUUAAGAAAGCAUCGGUACGCUUGAAGGUCCAUGCUCUAGCUGCCGCAGCCUACAGGCCAUACGUCAUUGUUUGAUCACUCAGGAAAAGGAUCUCCAACCAGGAUGCAUCAAGGCAUAUGCUAGGGGAAACAAAUCGCGAACAAGCUUGGUGAACCCUCCGUGGAGGAGGCCGCCUGGCUGUGGAGGUCUAAAGACAAUGUUGAUGCCAUGGUGGACAAGAUGCAAGAUCUAGAAGCCGUUUGCACGAUGUGUAUCAUAGCUGCAUCGAGGAGGAACAGACGGGGAAGUUGUUGGGCGGUAGCCCACCAAAUUCAAGUCUGUCACCUAUGACGCCGAGGACGUGCUGAACGAUUUGGACGCUGCAGAUGUAUGUAUUAAAGAAGAGCCAAUCAAAGGUACUCCCUUGGUGCACUCUCCAGGUCAAAGAUCUGGUCUACCAACAAGUGAUUCACGUGGAGUAACACACUGACAUGGCAUGUAUUGGACACAGUUAUGUUAUCUACGAAGGCAUUCUUAGUUU